rnacentral:lncRNA from 1 species
CAAGCUGCUACUGCUGCUGCUGCGCCGGCCGCCGCUCGAUCGUCGCAUCGUUUGCUUUCUUGGACAAGUCUGUAACCGUGAAUUCCGGACCCGUUUGCUUCUGUAAAAUUUGUGCAUUUGCCUGAGUAUUCACCGAGUUCCACGUAGUAGCAGUAGCUCUCUUUAUGAUCGUGGAGUACCUGACCAUGUGAUGAAAAUCCGGGAUGCUUGUACUGCUGGAUCGCGAUGAUUUCGACGGGGAUCGUCGUCCGUCGUCUACUCGAUCGUCGCCGCGCGGCGGGCGUGCAGUGCAGCGCCAAUAAUGCAGCGCCAUGUGCGGACAAGCGGG